GUUAACAGCCCAGACAACAAUUGUCCCACUUGACAAAGAAACUUUCAACGCAGCUGUUUGGAUGCUGAUAAUCACAAGCCAGCCUUUGUUACCUAAGAAGAGGGUGGAUGGAUGAUGUGGAAAUGAUUUCUGCACAGAAUCAGAGGGCUGCCUCCAGAAAGCUACCGCUUAUACCCUCUCAAGCUACAAGAUACUUUAAGUGUACAAAUUGAGAGCUUCUUCCUGUCUGCGGUUCCUCUGUAAGAUGUCCACGAGCACCAGACUCUCGCGCUCAGAGCCAGUAGCCCACGCUCUGCACUAGUCUUGCCUGUCCUGAUCUUCCUGGGGUGCGCGCACUCCUUCAGCGUGUCCUGGUUUUAAAAGACUAACCCAUCCGGAUGGGCCUGAACUCAAGAAGCAACUAUUCUAAGCUAGACUGAGCCUUGGCGUCUCCGCAGCCUGGGAAGCUCGGAUAGAGUCUCCCCGCAUCUACUACUAGCUCUUUGAAGAAGGCGGCUGCAAGCCAGUCUCCGAACCCCAGGGGACUUUUGGGCAAGGGAGCCGGUGGAAGCAGAAGGAAGAAGAUGCGCUGAGAGUCCUCACAACUGCGUCUCCGGAGGCAGAACGAAGUGGGGACUUCAGACAAUCAAGCGUCAUCCUUGCUCCCCCCUCCCCACACGGAACCCUGCGAUUAUGGCAAGAGAAAACUGGUUUGAGCUUGAGAAAAUUUCCCCAGAUUGUCUCCACUGCUCUAUUUCCCUCAGAUAAUUGUUCGCCCAGCCCUUGGGAGCAAAGACAGGCG
rnacentral:lncRNA from 1 species